UACGUAGGGGGCGAGCGUUGUCCGGAAUUAUUGGGCGUAAAGAGCGUGUAGGCGGUUCGGUAAGUCUGCCGUGAAAACCUGAGGCUCAACCUCGGGCGUGCGGUGGAUACUGCCGGGCUAGAGGACGGUAGAGGCGAGUGGAAUUCCCGGUGUAGCGGUGAAAUGCGCAGAUAUCGGGAGGAACACCGGUGGCGAAGGCGGCUUUCUGGGUCUUACCUGACGCUGAGGAACGAAAGCUAGGGGAGCGAACGGG
rnacentral:rRNA from 1 species